rnacentral:piRNA from 1 species
UGAGCUUUCCAAAAUUAUCAC